ACACACACACAUACACUUCAGGUUGUAUUCAGUGAAUUUACCGAGCCUCCCCUCUGAUCAUUCUCAGGUUGUGUUCUCCAACUAACCACUCUGAUCAUUCUCAUGUUGUGUUCUCCAACUAACCACUCUGAUCAUUCUCAGGUUGUGUUCUCCAACUAACCACUCUGAUCAUUCUCAUGUUGUGUUCUCCAACUAACCACUCUGAUCAUUCUCAGGUUGUGUUCUCCAACUAACCACUCUGAUCAUUCUCAUGUUGUGUUCUCCAACUAACCACUCUGAUCAUUCUCAUGUUGUGUUCUCCAACUAACCACUCUGAUCAUUCUCAUGUUGUGUUCUCCAACUAACCACUCUGAUCAUUCUCAUGUUGUGUUCUCCAACUAACCACUCUGAUCAUUCUCAUGUUGUGUUCUCCAACUAACCACUCUGAUCAUUCUCAUGUUGUGUUCUCCAACUAACCACUCUGAUCAUUCUCAUGUUGUGUUCUCCAACUAACCACUCUGAUCAUUCUCAUGUUGUGUUCUCCAACUAACCACUCUGAUCAUUCUCAUGUUGUGUUCUCCAACUAACCACUCUGAUCAUUCUCAUGUUGUGUUCUCCAACUAACCACUCUGAUCAUUCUCAGGUUGUGUUCUCCAACUAACCACUCUGAUCAUUCUCAGGUUGUGUUCUCCAACUAACCACUCUGAUCAUUCUCAGGUUGUGUUCUCCAACUAACCACUCUGAUCAUUCUCAUGUUGUGUUCUCCAACUAACCACUCUGAUCAUUCUCAUGUUGUGUUCUCCAACUAACCACUCUGAUCAUUCUCAUGUUGUGUUCUCCAUCUAACCCCUCUGAUCAUUCUCAUGUUGUGUUCUCCAACUAACCACUCUGAUCAUUCUCAGGUUGUGUUCUCCAACUAACCACUCUGAUCAUUCUCAGGUUGUGUUCUCCAACUAACCACUCUGAUCAUUCUCAUGUUGUGUUCUCCAACUAACCACUCUGAUCAUUCUCAGGUUGUGUUCUCCAACUAACCACUCUGAUCAUUCUCAUGUUGUGUUCUCCAACUAACCCCUCUGAUCAUUCUCAUGUUGUGUUCUCCAACUAACCACUCUGAUCAUUCUCAUGUUGUGUUCUCCAACUAACCCCUCUGAUCAUUCUCAGGUUGUGUUCUCCAACUAACCACUCUGAUCAUUCUCAUGUUGUGUUCUCCAACUAACCACUCUGAUCAUUCUCAUGUUGUGUUACCCAACUAACCACUCUGAUCAUUCUCAGGUUGUGUUCUCCAUCUAACCACUCUGAUCAUUCUCAUGUUGUGUUCUCCUACUAACCACUCUGAUCAUUCUCAUGUUGUGUUCUCCAACUAACCACUCUGAUCAUUCUCAUGUUGUGUUCUCCAACUAACCACUCUGAUCAUUCUCAGGUUGUGUUCUCCAACUAACCAAUCUGAUCAUUCUCAUGUUGUGUUCUCCAACUAACCACUCUGAUCAUUCUCAUGUUGUGUUCUCCAUCUAACCACUCUGAUCAUUCUCAGGUUGUGUUCUCCAUCUAACCCCUCUGAUCAUUCUCAUGUUGUGUUCUCCUACUAACCACUCUGAUCAUUCUCAUGUUGUGUUCUCCAACUAACCAAUCUGAUCAUUCUCAUGUUGUGUUCUCCUACUAACCACUCUGAUCAUUCUCAGGUUGUGUUCUCCAACUAACCAAUCUGAUCAUUCUCAUGUUGUGUUCUCCAACUAACCACUCUGAUCAUUCUCAUGUUGUGUUCUCCAACUAACCACUCUGAUCAUUCUCAUGUUGUGUUCUCCAACUAACCACUCUGAUCAUUCUCAUGUUGUGUUCUCCAACUAACCACUCUGAUCAUUCUCAUGUUGUGUUCUCCAACUAACCACUCUGAUCAUUCUCAUGUUGUGUUCUCCAACUAACCAAUC